rnacentral:rRNA from 1 species
CGGCAACGGCGAUAAGGGGACCUCGAGUGCCAGGUUACAAAUCUGGCUGUCGUGAUGCCUAAAAAGCAUUGCAUAGCAAGGGCCGGGCAAGACCGGUGCCAGCCGCCGCGGUAACACCGGCGGCUCGAGUGGUAACCGUUAUUAUUGGGUCUAAAGGGUCUGUAGCCGGCCGGAUAAGUCUCUUGAGAAAUCCAGCAGCUCAACUGUUGGGCUUUCAGGAGAUACUGUUCGGCUCGAGGCCGGGAGAGGUGAGAGGUACUUCAGGGGUAGGGGUGAAAUCUUGUAAUCCUUGAAGGACCACCAGUGGCGAAGGCGUCUCACCAGAACGGACCUGACGGCAAGGGACGAAAGCUAGGGGCACGAACCGGAUUAGAUACCCGGGUAGUCCUAGCCGUAAACGAUACUCGCUAGGUGUCGGCCACGGUGCGACCGUUGUCGGUGCCGUAGGGAAGCCGUGAAGCGAG